CCCUUAGAUGUUCUGGGAUGCACGCGCGUUACACUGAUUCGUUCAACGAGUUUAUGACCUUGCCUGAUGAGGUGGGGGAAUCUUUUCAAAUCGCAUCGUGAUGGGGAUAGAGUAUUGUAACUGUUAGUCUUCAACGAGGAAUUCCUAGUAAGUACGUGUCAUCAGCUCGUACUGAUUAUGUCCCUGCCCUUUGUACACACCGCCCGUCGCUCCUACCGAUUGAGUGCUCAGGUGAAUAGUAUGGACUGUAUCAGUGUUCGGUCUCCGAAUGUUGACGCGAGAAAUUCUGUGAAUCUUAUUGCUUAGAGGAAGGAGAAGUCGUAACA
rnacentral:rRNA from 1 species